rnacentral:rRNA from 1 species
GACGAACGCUGGCGGCGUGCCUAAUACAUGCAAGUAGGACGCAGUUGCGAACGUGUGAGUAACGCGUAGGUCACUGUCUAUUAGAGGGGGAUAACUAUUGGAAACGAUAGCUAAUACCGCAUACUAGUAGAUGGACCUGCGGUGUAUUAGCUAGUAGGUAGGGUAAUGGCCUACCUAGGCAACGAUACAUAGCCGACGUGAGCGGGUGAUCGGCCACACUGGGACUGAGACACGGCCCAGACGCCUACGGGAGGCAGCAGUAGGGGAUGUUCGACAAUGGGGGGAAGCCUGACCGAGCAACGCCGCGGGAGUGAAGAGGGUUUUCGGAUCGUAAAGCUCUGUUGUUAAGGAAGCGGUACUUAACCAGAAAGGGACGGCUAACUACGUGCCAGCAGCCGCGGUAAUAC